UUUACUUGUUAGUAUAUUAGCAACUUCUUUUUGACCUAGAUUAUGUACCUUUAAUUACACCAUCAAGCAAAACCAUAUAAAGCCUCAGCUUCAACUUCAUGUCGCCAACAUGAGAUGCAUAGUAAAUACUUUCGAUUUGAGCUGAUAUUUUAAGGAAAAUUGGAUUUCUUGGGGGAGCGCAAUAAAAAGAGUGUAAGGUUUCUUCACUAUUCACAUUUCAGAAAUGAAUAGUGUUUUUGCUUAGUCAUCUUCCACUUCAUCUUUGGUGUUACACACAUGUGGUGGAUUGCAUAUAGGUUUUCUUCAAUGAUGCAUGAAGUUUGGGGUAGACAAAAGAUCAAGGUUUCUUUGAGGAAGCAUCAUUAGUAGACAUAACUAAUCAAGCUUGUGCUCUUUUUAAUCCGACUGAGGUAAGAAUAUAUACAAUUGUUUCAUUUCUUCCCCUUCAUUUGAAUUUUAUCCAUUUAUUCUUCGUUUUUAUGCUUGCCUUGGAUUAUUAUGUAUAUUAGAACAUUCAAGUGGCAAUAUAUUUGAAAUCUAAGGCACAUUUAUGCAUGUUAACACCGAGGUAAAAAUAUAUACAAUUCUGCCUUUGUUUUUCCUUCAUUUGACCAUUUACUCAUCAUUUUGAUGUUUUCUAUGAAAGGAUUGAUAUUACUAGAGCUCCAAAAUGGAAACAGAUUUGGGGUCUUGGACACAUCUGUAUGUGUUAAUAGUAAACACUGAUUAAAGAGUACAUUAUGGUUUUGUAGAGAUCAACAAAUGCUGUUUUUUCACCUUAUGUUGUAUACUUGUAUAGUUGAUGAAUUGUCUUGUGUUAUUUAGUUCAUUUAUGCAUUUUUCUAUUUGAUCACUUAGUUUUUGCACGGGGAUUUUGAAAGUAUAUUUGGCUAAUGAAUCCUAACUGAAUACAAAUAAUUUUUUUAUCUGCUUUGUGACAAUCCAUUUGAUGUAGAAAGAGAUAGGAGGAAACUAAAGAGAUAAAGAAAGUGUUGCACACACUUUGCAACCUGUAUAAAAAAGAAAUUUUGUUGAAAAAUACGGGUGAUCAUUAUUUAUUUAUAUAUUAUGGUAAAAAAAAUAGUGUAGUUUUUCAUUGUUAGUUAAGAAGAUACAGAUAAAUCUCAUUAAAUUAAGAGAAUUAUGUCUAUUUGGAUUAAGGUUUUGGCAUUGUUGUCAUUGUGCGGUAGAUAUCUAAAAUAAAAUGACAACAUUUGUUAUAGAAGUAUAUAUUUGUCACGUUUAAGGCCGUAUGUAAUUUAUAAAUGUCUUGCUUUUGUGAUGUAGCUCUUUGAGUUGUAAUGGUAGUUUGAGUUUUGUAGUGAUAUAUUCUGAUUGAUUCCUAUGAAAAAACACCUGCCAAUGUGAUUUUUGGUUAAUAUAGGUUGGAAAAACUUUUAAAUGUCAAAACUAAGAUGUUGUUAACAUUGCAUUGUACUUCUAUUAGAUAAUUCUGUAGGACUGAACAUGCUAGCUUGCUGCUGAAUAUUGCUUUGAAUGCUUACUGUCCUGGUCUCAAUGUUAGUAGUUUUCUGACUGAUGUGUGGUUCUGGUACAUGUAUUUUGCUGCGUUACAACUAUAUAUUACUUGAACUCAUUUGACCUUGAGUACGCAUGGUGUUAUGUGACUUAUCUCAUGGGUGUGACACUCAACAAUUGUUUCAAAGUUUCGUCAGUUUAGGUUUAAACUUUGCAUGGCCCCUGGAAAUAUAUAGUAUGUUGGACACAAGUCAUUUGUUAUCACUGUCAGUAUUUGUUGAGAUAGUGUUUUCUCCUAUAAAUUAGUACGUAAUGCAAGCAUGGAUUAGUGGUUAUGACGGUCAUUCAUGGGCACAAGGUUGCAGGUACAAGAGCACAAGAGCACCCACAUCAGAAGGGAAGGACAGGAGGCGGCAGCAAUAGUAGCUGGUCCAUAUACAAGUUUUUUAUAUUCUGUUUCAGUGUUUGUAUAGCUGCAUAUUAUUUGUUAUUGUUGUAUUUGCCACGUCAUUUAGUUAGUUACAAGAUUAUUAGGUUGUUAGGAUGUUUGUUAGAACAAUCAAUCUUGUAACUCUUUCCUUUUCUUGUUUCCUCCUGCCUAUAUAAGGAGGCUUUCCGCCUUUGUUGUAUGUACUGAUUUUUGAUAGUUCAAUAUUAAAACAAUAUCAGUUUCUUU